AACCUUUGCUGUCUUGGGACGGAUCACCGCUGCAAGAGGGGAAGUUGCUACUGUGAUGAAUUCUGCCAUGUGGCACCAGACUGCCACCCAGACCACAGUGUCCUCUGCAACCCUGGUCAAAGGUGCCUACAUGCUCCUUCUAGCUUUGUUUCCCUGAUGUUCCUUGCCACCUGCUACUCCUCUCUGAGCUACUUUUCCAGCUUCUCAGAUGACCAAGAUGGUGCUGCAGAUGGUGCUGAGGAUGGAGAACCCACCAAGCCCCGCUAGGAGCCACCUAGACUGGAUGCAGAGCAUGGCCCAUCAGAAACUCAAAAGAAUGCGACCUUUGUCUCUCACCCACCUGUGACCUGGAAGCUUUCUCCUGGCUGCGAGUUGUCCCACGUUUGCUUGGCGUUGCCCGGCCUUUUCCAGACUGAACCAAUGUUCAUCUUACAUGUGUUGAUUGAUGUCUCAUGUCUCCCUAAAACGUAUGACCACCUUGGCACAUGUCGUCAGGACAUCCUGAGGCUGUGUCACGGGUGUG
ensembl:lncRNA MUC20-OT1 MUC20 overlapping transcript